rnacentral:rRNA from 1 species
AUUGAACGCUGGCGGCAGGCCUAACACAUGCAAGUCGAGCGGUAGAGAGAAGCUUGCUUCUCUUGAGAGCGGCGGACGGGUGAGUAAUGCCUAGGAAUCUGCCUAGUGGUGGGGGAUAACGUUCGGAAACGGACGCUAAUACCGCAUACGUCCUACGGGAGAAAGCGGGGGAUCUUCGGACCUCGCGCCAUUAGAUGAGCCUAGGUCGGAUUAGCUAGUUGGUGAGGUAAUGGCUCACCAAGGCGACGAUCCGUAACUGGUCUGAGAGGAUGAUCAGUCACACUGGAACUGAGACACGGUCCAGACUCCUACGGGAGGCAGCAGUGGGGAAUAUUGGACAAUGGGCGAAAGCCUGAUCCAGCCAUGCCGCGUGUGUGAAGAAGGUCUUCGGAUUGUAAAGCACUUUAAGUUGGGAGGAAGGGCAGUAAC